rnacentral:rRNA from 1 species
GAUGAACGCUGGCGGCGUGCCUAAUACAUGCAAGUCGAACGCUGGAAAUCUAGCUUGCUAGAUUGAAGGAGUGGCGAACGGGUGAGUAAUACAUAAGCAACCUACCCACGAAGACUGGGAUAUCUCUGGAAACGGGGACUAAUACCGGAUAGGUAAUCGGAAGGCAUCUUCUGAUUAUUAAAGGUUAAAAACACUGGUGGAUGGGCUUAUGGCGCAUUAGUUAGUUGGUGAGGUAACGGCCCACCAAGACGAUGAUGCGUAGCCGGCCUGAGAGGGUGAACGGCCACAUUGGGACUGAAACACGGCCCAGACUCCUACGGGAGGCAGCAGUAGGGAAUUUUCGGCAAUGGGGGAAACCCUGACCGAGCAACGCCGCGUGAGUGAUGACGGCCUUCGGGUUGUAAAGCUCUGUUGUAAGGGAAGAACGGUAGAUAGAGAAUAUCUAAAUGACGGUACCUUACCAGAAAGCCACGGCUAACUACGUG